GUUGUAUGGUUAAGUGACUAAGCGUACACGGUGGAUGCCUGGGCAGUCAGAGGCGAUGAAGGACGUACUAACUUGCGAUAAGCGCAGAUAAGGCAGUAAGAGCCGUUUGAGUCUGCGAUUUCCGAAUGGGGAAACCCAACUGCAUAAGCAGUUACUGUUAACUGAAUACAUAGGUUAACAGAGCAAACCGGGGGAACUGAAACAUCUAAGUACCCCGAGGAGAAGAAAUCAACCGAGAUUCCGGUAGUAGCGGCGAGCGAACCUGGAUUAGCCCUUAAGCACUCGGUGAAGUAGGUGAACAAGCUGGAAAGCUUGGCGAUACAGGGUGAUAGCCCCGUAACCGACGCUUCAUCGAGCGUGAAAUCGAGUAGGGCGGGACACGUGAUAUCCUGUCUGAAUAUGGGGGGACCAUCCUCCAAGGCUAAAUACUCCUGACUGACCGAUAGUGAACCAGUACCGUGAGGGAAAGGCGAAAAGAACCCCUGUGAGGGGAGUGAAAUAGAACCUGAAACCGUGUACGUACAAGCAGUAGGAGCACCUUCGUGGUGUGACUGCGUACCUUUUGUAUAAUGGGUCAGCGACUUAUAUUCAGUGGCAAGGUUAACCGUAUAGGGGAGCCGUAGCGAAAGCGAGUCUUAACUGGGCGCUCAGUCUCUGGAUAUAGACCCGAAACCGGGUGAUCUAGCCAUGGGCAGGUUGAAGGUUGAGUAACAUCAACUGGAGGACCGAACCGACUAAUGUUGAAAAAUUAGCGGAUGACUUGUGGCUAGGGGUGAAAGGCCAAUCAAACUCGGAGAUAGCUGGUUCUCCCCGAAAGCUAUUUAGGUAGCGCCUCGGACGAAUACUACUGGGGGUAGAGCACUGUUAAGGCUAGGGGGUCAUCCCGACUUACCAACCCUUUGCAAACUCCGAAUACCAGUAAGUACUAUCCGGGAGACACACGGCGGGUGCUAACGUCCGUCGUGGAGAGGGAAACAACCCAGACCGCCAGCUAAGGUCCCAAAGUAUUGCUAAGUGGGAAACGAUGUGGGAAGGCUCAGACAGCUAGGAUGUUGGCUUAGAAGCAGCCAUCAUUUAAAGAAAGCGUAAUAGCUCACUAGUCGAGUCGGCCUGCGCGGAAGAUGUAACGGGGCUAAGCAAUACACCGAAGCUGCGGCAAUGAAGUUUACUUCAUUGGGUAGGGGAGCGUUCUGUAAGCCGUUGAAGGUGAAUCGUAAGGUUUGCUGGAGGUAUCAGAAGUGCGAAUGCUGACAUGAGUAACGACAAGGGGGGUGAAAAACCUCCCCGCCGGAAGACCAAGGGUUCCUGUCCAACGUUAAUCGGGGCAGGGUGAGUCGACCCCUAAGGCGAGGCCGAAAGGCGUAGUCGAUGGGAAACGGGUUAAUAUUCCCGUACUCAAUCAAAUUGCGAUGGGGGGACGGAGAAGGCUAGGUGGGCCAGGCGACGGUUGUCCUGGUUCAAGUGCGUAGGCUUAAGAGUUAGGUAAAUCCGGCUCUUUCUAAGGCUGAGACACGACGUCGAGCUGCUACGGCAGUGAAGUCAUUGAUGCCAUGCUUCCAGGAAAAGCCUCUAAGCUUCAGAUUUGAUGGAAUCGUACCCCAAACCGACACAGGUGGUCGGGUAGAGAAUACCAAGGCGCUUGAGAGAACUCGGGUGAAGGAACUAGGCAAAAUGGUACCGUAACUUCGGGAGAAGGUACGCUCUUGAUGGUGAAGUCCCUCGCGGAUGGAGCUGACGAGAGUCGCAGAUACCAGGUGGCUGCAACUGUUUAUUAAAAACACAGCACUGUGCAAAAUCGCAAGAUGACGUAUACGGUGUGACGCCUGCCCGGUGCCGGAAGGUUAAUUGAUGGGGUUAGCGUAAGCGAAGCUCUUGAUCGAAGCCCCGGUAAACGGCGGCCGUAACUAUAACGGUCCUAAGGUAGCGAAAUUCCUUGUCGGGUAAGUUCCGACCUGCACGAAUGGCGUAAUGAUGGCCACGCUGUCUCCACCCGAGACUCAGUGAAAUUGAAAUCGCUGUGAAGAUGCAGUGUACCCGCGGCUAGACGGAAAGACCCCGUGAACCUUUACUACAGCUUGGCACUGAACAUUGAACCUACAUGUGUAGGAUAGGUGGGAGGCUAUGAAGACGUGACGCUAGUUGCGUUGGAGCCGUCCUUGAAAUACCACCCUUGUAUGUUUGAUGUUCUAACUUAGACCCGUUAUCCGGGUUGAGGACAGUGCCUGGUGGGUAGUUUGACUGGGGCGGUCUCCUCCCAAAGAGUAACGGAGGAGCACGAAGGUGGGCUAAUCACGGUUGGACAUCGUGAGGUUAGUGCAAUGGCAUAAGCCCGCUUAACUGCGAGAAUGACGGUUCGAGCAGGUGCGAAAGCAGGUCAUAGUGAUCCGGUGGUUCUGUAUGGAAGGGCCAUCGCUCAACGGAUAAAAGGUACUCCGGGGAUAACAGGCUGAUACCGCCCAAGAGUUCAUAUCGACGGCGGUGUUUGGCACCUCGAUGUCGGCUCAUCACAUCCUGGGGCUGAAGUCGGUCCCAAGGGUAUGGCUGUUCGCCAUUUAAAGUGGUACGCGAGCUGGGUUUAGAACGUCGUGAGACAGUUCGGUCCCUAUCUGCCGUGGGCGUUGGAAGAUUGAAGGGGGCUGCUCCUAGUACGAGAGGACCGGAGUGGACGAACCUCUGGUGUUCGGGUUGUGUCGCCAGACGCAUUGCCCGGUAGCUAAGUUCGGAAUCGAUAACCGCUGAAAGCAUCUAAGCGGGAAGCGAGCCCUGAGAUGAGUCUUCCCUGACAGUUUAACUGUCCUAAAGGGUUGUUCGAGACUAGAACGUUGAUAGGCAGGGUGUGUAAGCGUUGUGAGGCGUUGAGCUAACCUGUACUAAUUGCCCGUGAGGCUUAACCAUACAACACCCAAGGGGUUUUGUA
rnacentral:rRNA from 1 species